rnacentral:misc_RNA from 1 species
GCCUGAAGCACUUCUGCAAAUUGAGCUUGACCCAAUUCAUUGCUACUCUCCACUUCAUGUUUUUGUAAAAUUUCUCUCAGCAAAGGAUAUUCUGAGAAAGGUGGUACACCCGUUUCAACCCCCAUGUUGAUAAGAGCAUUUUUAAUCUCACUCUUCUUGAUCUUUCCUUUAUCUUCUGUGUCUAAAUCAGUGAAAAGGGUCUCGG